CGCGAGAAAACCCUCGUUAAGGAACUCGGCAAAAUGACCCCGUAACUUCGGGAGAAGGGGUACCCCAUUAAUGUGAAAGUUAUCCAACUGGAGCAUGAAGGGGUCGCAGAGAAAAGGCCCAAGCGACUGUUUACCAAAAACACAGGUUCCUGCUAAAUCGCAAGAUGACGUAUAGGAGCUGACGCCUGCCCGGUGCUGGAAGGUUAAGGGGAGAGGUUAGCGCAAGCGAAGCUUUAAACCGAAGCCCCAGUAAACGGCGGCCGUAACUAUAACGGUCCUAAGGUAGCGAAAUUCCUUGUCGGGUAAGUUCCGACCCGCACGAAAGGCGUAACGAUUUGGGCGCUGUCUCAACGAGGGACUCG
rnacentral:ncRNA from 1 species